GAUUUGUAUAUCCAUGCUGGAUGGCCCUUGUACAAAAAGUAUGGACAUUCUUUUGAGGCCUUCAAACUAAUUGUUAAUGAUCCUGAUUCGGUUCUUAAUCCCUCAUUCGCGAAGUUGAAGAAAUUAACGUUGAUGGUGAGAAGGUGUCUAAGGUGGUUCCUGCUCCGACGGACAAAGUAAAGAAUACACUAGUAAAAAUUAUAAGGAAAAGAAUAACUUCACAAUUAUUAAAGGUUCAGGCUGUUAUUGAUAUGACAUGUUUUGAAUUUGAUGGUGUACUUCACAUCAAGAAAGCAAUGAGGAAAGCUGAAGCUGUUGGUACUAACGAAUGCCGUGUAAAAAUUAGACUAAUUUGUGCUCCCAAGUACGUCCUAUAUGCUCAAACAGUCGACAAGGCAAAAGGAAUAGAAAUUCUAAGUAAUGCAAUUGUUGCUUGUACGAAAGAAAUAGAGCGGCAUAAGGGUAAACUUGUUGUAAGAGAAACACCAAAAAAAGUAAGUACCAGUGGCAGGCCCUAGCUGGA